rnacentral:rRNA from 1 species
CGCGUAGGCGGCUCCGAAAGUGGCGUGUGAAAGCCCCCGGCUCAACCGGGGAAGUGCACGCCAGACUUCGGUUCUUGAGGGCGGUAGGGGGGACUGGAACUCUCGGUGGAGCGGUGAAAUGCGUAGAUAUCGAGAGGAACACCGGUGGCGAAGGCGAGUCCCUGGUCCGCAUCUGACGCUGAGGCGCGAAAGCGUGGGUAGCAAACAG